GAUGAAGAACGUAGUGAAAUGCGAUAAGUAAUGUGAAUUGCAGAAUUCAGUGAAUCAUCGAGUCUUUGAACGCACAUUGCGCCCCCUGGUAUUCCGGGGGGCAUGCCUGUCCGAGCGUCAUUGCCGCCCUCAAGCACGGCUUGUGUGUUGGGCCCCCGCCCCCCGGCUUCGGGGGGCGGGCCCGAAAGGCAGCGGCGGUACCGCGUCCGGUCCUCGAGCGUAUGGGGCUUCGUCACCCGCUCUGUAGGCCCGGCCGGCGCCCGCCGGCGACCCCAAUCAAUCUUUCCAGGUUGACCUCGGAUCAGGUAGGGAUACCCGCUGAACUUAAGCAUAUCAAUAAGCGGAGGA
rnacentral:misc_RNA from 1 species